AAGGUAACCAAGUAGAGUUUGAUCCUGGCUCAUUAAGUCGUAACAAGGUAACCAAGUAGAGUUUGAUCCUGGCGCAAACCGUCGCAACAAGGGACCCGUUCCUUGAACCGCAUGGUUCAAGGAUGAAAGACGGUUUCGGCUGUCACUUACAGAUGGACCCGCGGCGCAUUAGCUAGUUGGUGAGGUAACGGCUCACCAAGGCGACGAUGCGUAGCCGACCUGAGAGGGUGAUCGGCCACACUGGGACUGAGACACGGCCCACACUCCUACGGGAGGCAGCAGUAGGGAAUCUUCCGCAAUGGACGAAAGUCUGACGGAGCAACGCCGCGUGAGUGAUGAAGGUUUUCGGAUCGUAAAGCUCUGUUGUUAGGGAAGAACAAGUGCAAGAGUAACUGCUUGCACCUUGACGGUACCUAACCAGAAAGCCACGGCUAACUACGUGCCAGCAGCCGCGGUAAUACGUAGGUGGCAAGCGUUGUCCGGAAUUAUUGGGCGUAAAGGGCUCGCAGGCGGUUUCUUAAGUCUGAUGUGAAAGCCCCCGGCUCAACCGGGGAGGGUCAUUGGAAACUGGGAAACUUGAGUGCAGAAGAGGAGAGUGGAAUUCCACGUGUAGCGGUGAAAUGCGUAGAGAUGUGGAGGAACACCAGUGGCGAAGGCGACUCUCUGGUCUGUAACUGACGCUGAGGAGCGAAAGCGUGGGGAGCGAACAGGAUUAGAUACCCUGGUAGUCCACGCCGUAAACGAUGAGUGCUAAGUGUUAGGGGGUUUCCGCCCCUUAGUGCUGCAGCUAACGCAUUAAGCACUCCGCCUGGGGAGUACGGUCGCAAGACUGAAACUCAAAGGAAUUGACGGGGGCCCGCACAAGCGGUGGAGCAUGUGGUUUAAUUCGAAGCAACGCGAAGAACCUUACCAGGUCUUGACAUCCUCUGACAACCCUAGAGAUAGGGCUUUCCCUUCGGGGACAGAGUGACAGGUGGUGCAUGGUUGUCGUCAGCUCGUGUCGUGAGAUGUUGGGUUAAGUCCCGCAACGAGCGCAACCCUUGAUCUUAGUUGCCAGCAUUCAGUUGGGCACUCUAAGGUGACUGCCGGUGACAAACCGGAGGAAGGUGGGGAUGACGUCAAAUCAUCAUGCCCCUUAUGACCUGGGCUACACACGUGCUACAAUGGACAGAACAAAGGGCUGCGAGACCGCAAGGUUUAGCCAAUCCCACAAAUCUGUUCUCAGUGAUCAUGGCUGUGUAAGUCGUAACAAGGUAACCAAGUAGAGUUUGAUCCUGGCUCAGUAAGUUGUAACAAGGUAACCAAGUAGAGUUUGAUCCUGGCUCAGUAAGUCGUAACAAGGUAACCAAGUAGAGUUUGAUCCUGGCUCAGUAAGUCGGAACAAAGGAACCAACUUGGGUUGUCUGCG
rnacentral:rRNA from 1 species